rnacentral:tRNA from 1 species
GCCCGCCUAGCUCAAUCGGAUAGAGCGUCAGACUCUUAUUCGAUAUCGUUUGAAAUGAUAUGUCUGAGUGGGCAUCUGAAGGCUGCGAGUUCGACCCUCGCGGUGGGCU